UCCUUCGUGGAGGCUGGCUACAUUUUCACAACGUCUGGUCCCAAGCUAGAUCUUCGGGAAAAGGGAUCAAGGAAAUGACUAUUCCUCCAAAUAAAAUGCUGCACAUCUUUCAUGGAUUCUGGUCCACCUCGUCCUCACGCGGGGAUGCAGACUGACAAGCUUCCACCAUGAAGGGUUGUCAUUUGCCAUAGCAGGGAGAGGAAAAUGGAGCAAAUCAGUCACCAGCUCGUCAUACAGAAGAGUGUCCCACGUCAUAUCUGCUGAUAUGUUAUGGCCAAAGUACAUGACUAUCUCCAAGGAGCUGAGAGGUGAAAUUCGGACAUUUGUCUGGACGGAGUAGAACCAAGAGAGUCGUAAACAUCCUGUGGACUACACACCGUUUAACAAGAUGCAACAGUAUUCUGGCUUUGCCUUUCCUGGAGCCCUUAAACAGGCUGAAGUGAAAAGCACCAUGACCUGUCACUACAAGACGAGAAGCCUCAGGAGAAGGAAGGAGAUCCCUUUUCAUUGGUUUUGCCGAGUUUCCCGAGCUCCAUCCUCCUACAGUUAAAUCAACACUCUUUAUCCUUAGACUGCUGAUAAUCUCACCAACCGCUUCCUGGUAAGAUCUGUAAUGCGUGAGGUCUUCCUUCUUAGUUGUUUGCAAACAUCAGUGAUUAGGGACAAUUAGGGACUGGUGUGCCUGUCAUUCUUCUCCUUUCAGCUGAGGAGGAAAUCCUCAUGCACCGUUAUCGGGAGUGAGACUUCAUCUGUCAGCUGCAGUCUCAGGAAUCCACGGGUUCAUUCAGUCGCAACUCUAAUCUCACUAACUUUAUCUGUGUUCCUCAAAUGCCUUAGACUAUUUGCUUCCCACUGAUAGGGAAACCUGACAUCUCAUUUUCUCAGUGUCCAGACAAAGAUUCGUACAUAGCAAGAAACUAAGAUAGGUGUUACAGAACAUGGAGGGAACCAGGAAAACCAAAUAGAGGACCCCCUUCAUGGGGCUUCCAACACGACAAUAGGCAAAAGAGAAGAAACAUACAUGUAAGAGACAAGCAAAACCCAGAACCAUCACUUAUGAAGGAUGUCCUCAUCACCCUCUUUUGCUGCCUGUCAAAACCGGUGAGGGCUCAUAUGACACCUUAAUUAUGAAUUAAUCUUCGUUCCUCCUACACCAGCACUUCCCCUCACCCCAGUCGAAGCCAUCU
rnacentral:lncRNA from 10 species